rnacentral:rRNA from 1 species
CACGACUACAUUAGAUACCCGUGUAGUCCUAGCCGUAAACGAUACUCGCUAGGUGUCGGCCACGGUGCGACCGUUGUCGGUGCCGUAGGGAAGCCGUGAAGCGAGCCACCUGGGAAGUACGGCCGCAAGGCUGAAACUUAAAGGAAUUGGCGGGGAGCACAACAACGGGUGGAGCUUGCGGUUUAAUUGGAUUCAACGCCGGAAAACUCAUCGGGAGCGACAGCAGUAUGAUUGCCAGGUUGAUGACCUUGCUUGACAAGCUG